AACGUAGGAGACAAACGUUAUCCGGAGUUACUGGGCGUAAAGGGCGUGUAGGUGGUAAUGUAAGUCUGGCGUGAAAUUUUUCGGCUUAACCGGGAAAGGUCGUCGGAUACUGCAUGACUAGAGGACGGUAGAGGCGUGUGGAAUUCCGGGUGUAGUGGUGAAAUGCGUAGAUAUCAGGAGGAACACCCAUGGCGAAGGCAGCUCCCUGGC
rnacentral:rRNA from 1 species